UGUGAUCCUGAGCGUGGGCAUUAGCACCCUGUUCUCUGUUCUUUUCCUUCCUCACACGUCUCGCAAUUAGAAUUGUAUGUAAUAGGGUGUGAGUGAGAUUUUUUUCUGUUGUCUUGGAAUGGCUGCCAAUGCCCAAAGGUGACCCAGAAAGUGCUGAGCACUUUGGUUUUCUAAAGAGAGCUCUUAACCAGCCUUCAACAAUGCAGUGGCAGAACUGGCCCUAAUACCACCAACCCUGCCCCUGUCCUGGGUCUGUAAGGAGGAGUCUGGGCUGGAAUAAGGGGCUUGGAGUUCUCAGCCUGGAGGAGAUACAGAGUUCUUCGUAAGCGUAUUCCCAGGAGCGGGGCCAGGAACAGGGGUUUUCCCUCCUCCAAGCCAAAGGAGAGUUGGGGGUGCUAAGGGGAUCACUAGUGUCAUGUUUACUGGCUAGACAUCUGCCUGGGCAGCAGUCCUGCUGUCAGCCCUGUCCCGGGAGAAAAGAAACAUUGGAGAGAGAAGGCAGGGCUGAAAUACGGCGUGGCCAUGGCGCAGGCUCCUUCCCAAAGCUUGGCACAGCAGGGUGGUUGAAUUUCCCAUGGGUCAAAAGAAUGCUGAGGAAGGUACUGGGCCUGGGCUGACUUGCUGCGCCCCCCUCUGCCGCCUGAAAAAAGCCACCCUCUGGAUGAGGGUCUCCAGCAACAAGGGUUUGUGAGGUUGAAAAAGUCCAAGAUUUGCAGUCUGCAAGUUAGAGACCCAGGAGAGCCAAUGUCCAGUUGCAGUCUGAGUCCAAAGGCCUGAGAACCAUAAGAGCUGAUGGUAUAAGUUCCAGUCCAAAAGCCAGCAGGCUUGAAACCCAAGAAGAGCUGAUGUUUCGGUACAAGACUGAAGGUGACUGAGGCCAAACCAGUAUGGGAGCUCCUUCGAAAAACCCAGCGAGGGCCAGGAAGGCCAGACAAGUGGACUUUCAUUGCAGGGUGCCUUCAGUGCUGCUGUCAGAGGAGCAUCCUUCUGUGAGCCUUGGUUUUCCUUCUGCAAACUGGCUAAGAGCUGCAGAGCACUCGACACCCAGAACCACAGUGUGUGCGUGGCUGAAGGCCGAGGCGACUGUGUCGCAUCCUGGGCAUUUCACAUCUAUGCUGUAGGGAUUGGGGCUUUACCCUGGGCGCUUCUUGGGUUCCUUCUUCUCUACCUGAGAGGGAUGAAGGUGAUCUUUUUCAAGAGGCUUAUUCUCAUGGAGACAUCAUAGCUUGAAAGCUCAGUUACUUUUUUUUUUUUAUUAUUAUACUUUAAGUUCUAGGGUACAUGUACACAACAUGCAGGUUUGUUACAUAUGUAUACAUGUGCCAUGUUGGUGUGCUGCACCCAUCAACUCGUCAA